rnacentral:lncRNA from 1 species
AGACGGAGAUGUCUCCGCCACCUCGAGUCUAUCACCACCUCGUCCCCAAGCAGGCGCACCCAGUAGAUUCUUAAUAAGACUCCUCCAAAUGGAUUGAACUGAGCUUUCAAAGGUCCUGGGGAAGGAAACCUGGCUUUUUGCUUGGCAGGGAGCCCACGAGGGGAAGGAAUUACCAGUGUCGGCUUUGCCCUAGCAACUCACAUUCCAGGUCUGUAAGUGUAUUCCUAAGGGAGGAGCAGCGGCAGGAUGAAGACAUUUGGGGCUUUAUCAGCCAUGUCGGCUGCCCCCUCCUAGAACUGGAGUUGGGCCCCAAUUGUCCGGGCGGGGAAUCGUCCGGAGCUCGGAUGUGGGAGCGCGGCCGGGUGCGCGGCGGAUGGAUUGGGGAGGCGUGUCCCAGAGCCCCAGAGACGUCUUCUUCACCUGCACUCCGUCAGUGACCAGCUUGAAUGGCGGCCGGAGGAUAUAUUUGCCUUGGCCUCGGGCCAGGGCCGCCCCGCCACUCCUGGCACAGCAUCUGGUUCACAUCGUGUUGAAAAAUCUUGUUAUAUAGAUGGAGCAUGGUUCCCCGAGUCAGGAAGCCCUGAGUUCAAAUCCUACCUGAUGCCCUUUAAAGCACAAGCUAUGUGCUUCUGGGCCAUCCAUUUAACCUGUUUGCCUUAGUUUCCUCAUCUGCCAAGUGGCACCUAACUCAAAGGGUUGUAAGGCUCAAGACUGAAACCAGUGCUUGCUACAUAGUAGGUGCUUAAUAAAUACUAAUUGAGUGACUCA